rnacentral:rRNA from 1 species
AUUACAGAGUUGCAAAACUCCCUAAACCAUUGUGAACGUUACCUAAACCGUUGCUUCGGCGGGCGGCCCCGGGGUUAUCCCCGGGCGCCCCUGGGCCCCACCGCGGGCGCCCGCCGGAGGUCACCAAACUCUUGAUAAUUUAUGGCCUCUCUGAGUCUUCUGUACUGAAUAAGUCAAAACUUUCAACAACGGAUCUCUUGGUUCUGGCAUCGAUGAAGAACGCAGCGAAAUGCGAUAAGUAAUGUGAAUUGCAGAAUUCAGUGAAUCAUCGAAUCUUUGAACGCACAUUGCGCCCGCCAGUAUUCUGGCGGGCAUGCCUGUUCGAGCGUCAUUUCAACCAUCAAGCCCCCGGCUUGUGUUGGGGACCUGCGGCUGCCGCAGGCCCUGAAAAGCAGUGGCGGGCUCGCUGUCACACCGAGCGUAGUAGCAUACAUCUCGCUCUGGGCGUGCUGCGGGUUCCGGCCGUUAAACCACCUUCAUAACCCAAGGUUGACCUCGGAUCAGGUAGGAAGACCCGCUGAACUUAAGCAUAUCAAUAAGCGGAGGAAAAGAAACCAACAGGGAUUGCCCUAGUAACGGCGAGUGAAGCGGCAACAGCUCAAAUUUGAAAUCUGGCUUCGGCCCGAGUUGUAAUUUGCAGAGGAAGCUUUAGGCGCGGCACCUUCUGAGUCCCCUGGAACGGGGCGCCAUAGAGGGUGAGAGCCCCGUAUAGUUGGAUGCCUAGCCUGUGUAAAGCUCCUUCGACGAGUCGAGUAGUUUGGGAAUGCUGCUCAAAAUGGGAGGUAAAUUUCUUCUAAAGCUAAAUACCGGCCAGAGACCGAUAGCGCACAAGUAGAGUGAUCGAAAGAUGAAAAGCACUUUGAAAAGAGGGUUAAAUAGCACGUGAAAUUGUUGAAAGGGAAGCGCUUGUGACCAGACUUGCGCCGGGCAGAUCAUCCGGU